rnacentral:rRNA from 1 species
AUACGAAGGGUGCAAGCGUUAAUCGGAAUUACUGGGCGUAAAGGGUGCGUAGGCGGUUGUUUAAGUCUGCCGUGAAAUCCCCGGGCUCAACCUGGGAAUGGCGGUGGAUACUGGACAGCUAGAGUGUGUCAGAGGAUGGUGGAAUUCCCGGUGUAGCGGUGAAAUGCGUAGAGAUCGGGAGGAACAUCAGUGGCGAAGGCGGCCAUCUGGGACAACACUGACGCUGAAGUACGAAAGCGUGGGGAGC